rnacentral:rRNA from 1 species
GAGUUUGAUCUUGGCUCAGAUUGAACGCUGGCGGCGUGCCUAACACAUGCAAGUCGAGCGGUAACAGGUGUAGCAAUACAUGCUGACGAGCGGCGGACGGGUGAGUAACGCUUGGGAAUCUGCCUAUUAGUGGGGGACAACCCGGGGAAACUCGGGCUAAUACCGCAUACGCACUACGGUGGAAAGCCGGGGACCGCAAGGCCUGGCGCUAAUAGAUGAGCCCAAGUCGGAUUAGCUAGUUGGUAGGGUAAUGGCCUACCAAGGCUACGAUCCGUAACUGGUCUGAGAGGACGACCAGUCACACCGGAACUGAGACACGGUCCGGACUCCUACGGGAGGCAGCAGUGGGGAAUAUUGGACAAUGGGCGAAAGCCUGAUCCAGCGACGCCGCGUGGGUGAAGAAGGCCUGCGGGUUGUAAAGCCCUUUCGGUAGGGAAGAAAAGCCUCGACCUAACACGUCGGGGUAUUGACGUAACCUACUAAAGAAGCACCGGCUAACUCUGUGCCAGCAGCCGCCGU